rnacentral:tRNA from 1 species
GGACCUUUAGCUCAGCAGGUCAGAGCGUCCGGCUCAUAACCGGAUGGCCGCAGGUUCAAAUCCUGCAGGGUCCA